GACUGUAGGCUGCAACUCGCCUACACGAAGUCGGAAUCGCUAGUAAUCGCGGAUCAGCAUGCCGCGGUGAAUACGUUCCCGGGCCUUGUACACACCGCCCGUCACACAUGGGAGUUUGUAACGCCCAAAGUCGGUGGCCUAACCUUUAUGGAGGGAGCCGCCUAAGGCGGGACAGAUGACUGGGGUGAAGUCGUAACAAGGUACC
rnacentral:rRNA from 1 species